rnacentral:rRNA from 1 species
UUAGCGGCGGACGGGUGAGUAACACGUGGGCAACCUGGCUGGAAGACUGGGAUAACUUCGGGAAACCGAAGCUAAUACCGGAUAGGAUCUUCUCCUUCAUGGGAGAUGAUUGAAAGAUGGUUUCGGCUAUCACUUACAGAUGGGCCCGCGGUGCAUUAGCUAGUUGGUGAGGUAACGGCUCACCAAGGCAACGAUGCAUAGCCGACCUGAGAGGGUGAUCGGCCACUCUGGGACUGAGACACGGCCCAGACUCCUACGGGAGGCAGCAGUAGGGAAUCUUCCGCAAUGGACGAAAGUCUGACGGAGCAACGCCGCGUGAGUGAUGAAGGCUUUCGGGUCGUAAAACUCUGUUGUUAGGGAAGAACAAGUAUGAGAGUAACUGCUCGUACCUUGACGGUACCUAACCAGAAAGCCACGGCUAACUACGUGCCAGCAGCCGCGGUAAUACCUAGGUGGCAAGCGUUAUCCGGAAUUAUUGGCCGUAAAGCGCGCGCAGGCGGUUUCUUAAGUCUGAUGUGAAAGCCCACGGCUCAACCGUGGAGGGUCAUUG